CUGCCAGGGCAGUGGAGUAGGGUACGCCAGAAUAAGAGGGGCUUGGGCUCCUUUUAAGGCCAGGGAACCCUCCCAGGCCCCUCUCUGGGAAACCAAAGGGAACAGUGGAGAAGCAGAGCGGGGGGUCCCCAAACCAAAAGCCCAGAGAGCAAUGUCCGUACCGACAUGCGCGUGGGGACGCAGGAGGGGCAGGGUGUGGCUAAGUGGGACGCAAGGUGUGGCGCAAGUGUGUGCAUGGGUUGGCGGGGUGGCUGGGAGCUGAGGCCAGAGAACUGCUCCCCAGUCGACCGGCAGGGGCCCUGCAGCGGCUGCUGCGCGGCGCAGGGGGUGGUGUACUUUAAUCAGCAUUUAAUGACCCAGUCGAAAAUUCAUUGUUUGGACCCAAGCACUGGUGGGAAAGGCAGGAGGGGAGGCCUGCCUUCCUUCCUCCCUCCCGAGCCCUACAGCAGGCCAUGGAGUGGUGAGCGAGUUCGUACAGUGCCAACCACAUUCCCAGAAACUUCCAGCAGAGGUUAAUCCUGCUCCUCUCAGGAAAAAGUGAUUCAGCUCCGGUCCACCCUGGGUGCAGCGGUCCUUCUGCCAAGAUGCCUUCAUAUCAUACAGCUAUUAUUUUCGGGAGGAUUCCAAGUGAGGGCAGUCAGGGUGGGCUUGGCCCAUUCUCUAGACUUUGGAAGGUAAUGUUCUAUAGAGGCCUGUUCUGAAGCUUUACCAGGUCAAACCGGAGAAGAACCCAACAAGUAACUCAUCCCAGCCUAACUAUUCUUCAAGGGCAAUCAACCUACAGCAUCCAAGCACAGAGAAAUCAAAUCCAUGGAGAAUCUUCAAAUUAGGCUCAGAAUCCAUUUGGGUCAAUGAAUUUACUGUUAUUAAGAUCUUAGUUGUGUUCAACCAUGAUUUGACAUACCUUAGAGUGAGAAGAUAUUCUUCCUGGCCUCAGACUAGUUGAAGGUAGAGAGAGAGACAGGCCCUUGGGUGUGGGGAGACCUCUCCUGGGAUAAUACACACAAAAAACCAAGAGCUGCUCACUGUGGUGCAGGAGACAGCAGGGCCUGAAGCCAGAGGCUCUGUGUCCUUGAAUACAAUGUUUUACUCCUCUGACCCCUGUUACUGUGAUUUGGAGAGGCAGACAAUAUAGGAUGGGCUUUGCAGGCAGGGAGGUCCAGUUAUAAUCCCAGCUCUUACUAAGUUGGGUAAGACUCACUCUGAGACUUAGUUUCUUCUGUCAUCUCUCAAUAGAAUCAUAAAGGUACUUUCCUCUUAGUGUUGUUUUAAAAUUCAGUAAAAUAAUGCAGGCUUAGCACAGGGUCUGAUGUAAAUUUUCAAUGAAUUAUCGUUGUCAAUAUUGUUCUGGAAAACAAGAGGGCAUAUUAGAAGAUCAAAAGUACUGCCAAGCAUUGAAGUGCCAAUUCUAGAUCCAGUCUCAGCCCUCUGAGAAUGGAUAUCAUUGUUUUCAAGCCAUUCAGAAACCAAUGUGAAUUGAACACCUAGUAUGAGCUCUCUGAGGGAAGAGCCAAGUCAUGCAUUUUUUAUCUUAAGGGGUCUUCAAUACCUCUAGCCCAAAACAGUAUCUCCAUCAGGAUUCUUCUCUGAUAGUGUUCAUUUCUUUUUUCUCAAUGGAUGCCUUAAAAAAAAAAUCCUACAAGGAAACCUGUACUCCUCAAAUACACCACUCAGGUGACCAUUAAAUCAUUUACAUUGUUAAUUUCUUUUCAGAUGUGUGUCUUUUUCCCUAGUUACAUCAUCAGGACCUUGAAGGUAGGGACAGGUCUUAGAUUUCUUGAUGCCCCCAUAAAUCUAGGUACAGAGUAGGUCUCUGGACAUCAGUAUAAGGCCCAUGAGCCUGAUAGCU
rnacentral:lncRNA from 1 species